rnacentral:rRNA from 1 species
AUUGAACGCUGGCGGCAGGCCUAACACAUGCAAGUCGAGCGGAUGAAGGGAGCUUGCUCCUGGAUUCAGCGGCGGACGGGUGAGUAAUGCCUAGGAAUCUGCCUUGUAGUGGGGGAUAACGUCCGGAAACGGGCGCUAAUACCGCAUACGUCCUGAGGGUGAACGUGGGGGAUCUUCGGACCUCACGCUAUCAGAUGAGCCUAGGUCGGAUUAGCUAGUUGGUGGGGUAAAGGCCUACCAAGGCGACGAUCCGUAACUGGUCUGAGAGGAUGAUCAGUCACACUGGAACUGAGACACGGUCCAGACUCCUACGGGAGGCAGCAGUGGGGAAUAUUGGACAAUGGGCGAAAGCCUGACCCAGCCAUGCCGCGUGUGUGAAGAAGGUCUUCGGAUUGUAAAGCACUUUAAGUUGGGAGGAAGGGCAGUAAGUUAAUACCUUGCUGUUUUGACGUUACCAACAGAAUAAGCACCGGCUAACUUCGUG